UACUAGCCUGUUUGAAUCAUAUGUCUCC
rnacentral:piRNA from 1 species